UGGGGGAUUUUGCACAAUGGGCGCAAGCCUGAUGCAGCGACGCCGCGUGAGGGAUGAAGGCCUUCGGGUUGUAAACCUCUUUCGCUGGGUUGAAAGGCCAUGCUUUGGGUGUGGUUGAUUUGAACUGGUAAAGAAGUACCGGCUAACUACGUGCCAGCAGCCGCGGUAAUACGUAGGGUACUAGCGUUGUCCGGAUUUAUUGGGCGUAAAGGGCUUGUAGGUGGUUUGUCGCGUCUGUCGUGAAAUCCUGUGGCUUAACCAUGGGCUUGCGGUGGGUACGGGCAGGCUUGAGUGCGGUAGGGGAGACUGGAAUUCCUGGUGUAGCGGUGGAAUGCGCAGAUAUCAGGAGGAACACCGGUGGCGAAGGCGGGUCUCUGGGCCGUUACUGAAACUGAGGAGCGAAAGCGUGGGGAGCGAACAGG
rnacentral:rRNA from 1 species